UUCUGUCACCUACCCGUCUCCGUCUCACAAAGGCCUCGCAGCCACAGUUAACAGGCUAAGUCAUGUUUUGUUAUCCACUUUGGUUCCUAAUUUCUUACAUUCUAUUAAUGAUCAUUUUUACAGCAGGACUCUUUAGCAGUAUUGCCUACAGACUCCAACGUCAUGCAUACCAGAGACAAGCCUUACCAACCUACCGUCUUAACUUUUAUGCUUUCAGAUGGGGGAGUAAUCACCUCUCAUAACUCCACUCCUCCUAACCCCACGUUUAAUUUUCAGAAUUCUGCCUUACCGUGGAAAUGUUUCUACCUCAACAUGGUCCUGAUAGAAUGAUAUGUCUAAAUCAAAGGCACCUUUCCUUCUACCUCACCUGGGUCCUUAAAUAUGACAGUGCCAUGUCUCCUCAUAACAUCUUGUCUCUUUGUUUUUCCAGUCUGACAUAUGUGCAUUCACCAGUGAAGUUGUCCUGGCCAAAACACCUGGCACCAGCGUCUACCUGGGCAUCAACCUUCAUCCUGUCGACUCCCCUAGGCUCCAGUACAGCGCCCUUUGCCAGCAGGAAGUAGUUAAAGAGAGAAAUCUUCGCCCCUUUUCAUAAUAAUAACCAUAAGACGGGAUAUGAAAGGUUUUGGCUCAGACAGGACACUGUAGCCAGGAAAGCCACAACCGGAAGCAGGAAGCCCCAUCUUGCCCUGCCCCUAGGAAGUUACCUGUGACGCCAUCUUCCCGCCCCUGGGAAUUUACAUAUGGCGCCAAACCUAGGACCAAUGGGCUACCUGUGUAUCCGUAAUGCCCGCCUUAGGUUCCACCCCAAACCGAGGCUAUUUACAGGCCCCCACGCCAUGUGUCCGCCGGAGAGAUCGCCGGAUGCCAGCGGUGGGGUUGCCAGUCAUCUCUCUCCGUGUUCUCAGAAUAAAGGCUGCUUUUUAUUUUAUAUUUCUCAUCUUUUGUUAAUAUUUUUCAUCUUUUGGAAAUAACUCUAUCAGGGGCAACAGGAGAGACCGGAGUCCAAGAAGGGGCGAACGCUUCAGGAUAAUGAUAGAAGCUCCUGAAGCCCAUGGAAAGGACGACCGAAAGGUCUGAGGAGCUUAGAAAAUGUCACAUGAGAGACACAAAGGAAUGCCAUGCACAUGCGGGAAUGUGCCAUGAGCCGCUGGCACACCAGGAAGGUCAGAGACACUGGACGGGGACUCGCAGAGGGAAGUGAGGGCUCAGCAGACCAGGGAGACCGAAGGAACGAAUCACCGUCCUUCAGUCACCCUCCUUCAGCGCCCAAAGAAGGAAAAAGUCCGGAAUGCUACGCCCAGGAGAGCAAUCCGCCAGAACAGGGGCAAAAUAAAGACACAUCCAGACAAACGAAUUGGAAAGACUCACAAAUACCAUUCUCAUAGAGAAACGCUAACCAAUCUGCCCCUGAAAUCCAGUGUGAUCAUCUGCACGGCGGUCCAGCAACGUGAUGAGGCUGGGGAGAGAAAUGCAGGCUUCCGGCGGGGAAAGAAGGAGUGAAACGGUUUUUAGGCACAGAGUGACUUUUUCCUACACAGAAAAUCCUACAGGAUCUAAAAGGCAAUUGCUACAACUAUUGGUGAGUUUUGCAAAAUGAAGAACCCAAUAUCAAUAUGAAAAGUCAGUUUAUUACCUUAUACAUUUUCAGCAAAUGACAGGAAAGUGACAUUCAAAUAACAAUUGCUUUUGUAACAAAAUUUAAAAACUAAAUAGGCUAUGUAUUUUCAUGUCAGGCUUCUCUAUACUGCAAAUGAAAUUUUUAUUUUUAUUAAAACAGUCUUGGGGAGAGAACUUGACGAGAAUUUCAAUGAGAGAGAAGGUGCUGCUGGAUCCCAGAGGGAGAGGCCCUGUGGCAGGUGGGAGGCUGAUGGUCACAGGGUCCGGACUGGUGAGAGGCCAGCUUCCCUAGAUUAACCGCAGACUCAAAGCUGUUCCGAUCAAAAUCCCAGGAAGAAUUUUAUGGAAAUCUUUAAGUUGCUCUUAAAACUUGUUUGGAAGUGCAAGAGCUCAAAAAUAGAAAAAGCAGAAUCCCGAAGAACAGAACUGGAGGAGUCGGACUGCCGACUGCAAGCCAUGCCUCUAGGCUGCAGGAAUUCCAGGCAGAGUUUGGGUUGAGCACGACAAGUCAUCUGGUGUACAGCACCAGGGUCCAAAGCAGAUCCUGGGUAUCAUCUAGAGGCCUUGGCAGCAGCACCCGAAGUUCAGGAGGAGGGAAGACACCGCUGAUGGAUGCCUAGAGGGGCGAGGAGCCUCUUCCUGGGGCCCCACAAGGAGCUCCGUGCAGACGAAUUGAGUCUAAGCCAUGCAGCAAAGAUGCAGAACUUGUGGCGGAGACAGGAGAUCAGCCCUGCCUAAGCAGCCCACCUGCCAAAAUCAAUCCAAAUUGGGUCCAAAAAUCAAAAAGACACCAGAGAACUUAAGGGGAAAAAACCGCCACGCGUUUAUUUUAGCUGGCCAGUGAUGUAGUCCCUAGUAGCAAGUAGGAGACUAGCGCCCUGACUGGGAGGAGUCUGGGGUAUUUAAAACCUAAAACCACAGGAAUUUGCUUUGUUACAGGGUAUCUUGAGGGACAUCAGGUAAUAGUUACACAGCUGAGACCACAGGGAAAAACACUCUGGGGGGAUGUUUUGAGGUUAUUUAUGACUUGGGAAGUUUCCAGGUUAUUUACAACUCUGGGGGAAGUUUUGAGGUUAUCUCCUGUUAAUGGUUGUACAAACAUUCAUGGGAAAUUUUAACCACAAGGGUUCAGUUACAGGUCAACCAGGUUUAGCACAGUUUUUUUUUAUAGCUUACAACACUGACUUUGGAGAGGCAGCAGUGUCCUGCAAACAAAGGCUACCUCUGGAGGAGAAGAGGUUGAAGUUUACUUCUGCAAAACAAGACAAACAGAAAGCGGCCUACUGGCAUGGGAAGACAUAAUUAAGAUGCUAAAUGACCAGGCACAUGUAGAGAAAUCUUUGUGGUUCACAGAUCCGCCCAAGAUGUUGCGUCCAGAUUAAAGGACAGUGAUCAAGACCCAGAAAGAGCACUUUGAGACCCUUCAGAAAACAUAAAGUGAAACUGUGGUAAGAACAUGAAAAGGCAGGAAAGGCAGAUGUCAUGGUUUAUGUCUGUGUCCCCAGGCCUCAUGACUUUGCAUUGUGCAUUUGGUUCAUUGUCUAGUGCUUGGAUUGAUGGUGUCAGUGCUACACCCACAAAGGGGUGGAGCCAGGAUGUGAUGUAAUGGCAGGAAGAAGGUGUGACUUGCUCUUUGCUGGUUCCUGCUUGCUGUUUGCAGCCACCAUGAACUGCGCCCCAGCCAUGCCCGCCUGCCUUGGAGCCAAUUGAAACCUCCAAAAACUGGGGUUACAAUUAAGAGUUUGCCAUAGAUCUUGGAGAAAACUUGGGACUUGGACUAUUCAGCAAUGCUGAAGCUCUUAGGACUUUGGCAACUCUUGGAGGUAGACUAAAUGUCUUUUGAUAAAGGAUGUACAUGAGUCCUGGGGGCCAGGGGUGGAAUGUCAUGGUUUAUGUCUGUGUCCCCCAGGCCUCAUGCGUUUGCACUGUGCAUUUGUGAUGGUUCAUUGUCUAGUGCUUGGAUUGAUGGUGUCAGAGCUACACCCACAAAGGGGUGGAGCCAGGAUGUGAUGUAAUGGCAGGAAGAAGGUGUGUCUUGCUCUUUGCUGGUUCCUGCUUGCUGUUUGCAGCCACCAUGAACUGCGCCCCAGCCAUGCCCGCCUGCCUUGGAGCCAAUUGGAACCUCCAAAAACUAUAACUGAGGACGGACAGACCGAGGAUGGACGGACAGGCCGAGGAUGGACGGACUGACCAAGGACAGAAGGACUGAGGACAGACUGACCGAGGACGGACAGUCCAGUGAUGCUGAGUGCUGUGAGGUGGUGACUGCCUGGCCAUCAACAGCCUCUGAGAUCCUCAGACAUCACCCCAUGCUCGGGCACUGUGAUGCCCUCUCUUCCUCCUCCCCUCUGCCCAUCUCAUACACACGCUGAAGACACAUACGAGGCUCCAAGUCUUUCUCCGCGUAUGUGCGGUGAUCUCGCUCACUGGCGUGGCCGGGGGCACAGGGUGGGAAGACGAGCCUGCCUGCUGCAGAUGGUGUGAGUUGGACUCUUCACCCCAGCAGCCUGGUCCCCACUGUGGGAAGGGACAGUCUCGGUAGAGCGCACUGUCUGCAAUGUGACGCUGUGCUGGGGACAGCAGCCAGGAGGAGGAGGGACACAGGCAGGUGCGACUCUUUCCACAGCAGGGUGAGGACAGGACUGAGCCUGGGGCGGGGCCUCGGGGCAGCCUGCCCAGCAGCAGCGGCUGUACAGCAGGUGCAGGAGGUCUUGGCCAAGGUCCCCAGACUGUGUCUUGGGAUGACCUGAUGGCUGUGCAGGAUGACGACCGUCACAGUGUCCUUCCUGGGGUCAAUAGAGUGCAUGCACUAGG